CUACGGAGGGUGCAAGCGUUACUCGGAAUCACUGGGCGUAAAGCGCGCGCAGGCGGGCUGAUAAGUUGGAUGUGAAAGCCUACGGCUCAACCGUAGAACUGCAUCCAAAACUGUCAGUCUAGAGUCUGGGAGGGGAAGAUGGAAUUAGUUGUGUAGGGGUAAAAUCCGUAGAGAUCACUAGGAAUACCAAAAGCGAAGGCGAUCUUCUGGAACAGUACUGACGCUGAGGCACGAAAGCGUGGGGAGCAAACAGGAUUAGAAACCCUAGUAGUCC
rnacentral:rRNA from 1 species